rnacentral:rRNA from 1 species
UACAGAGGGUGCAAACGUUGCUCGGAAUUAUUGGGCGUAAAGCGCGUGUAGGCGGCUUGUUAAGUUGGUCGUGAAAGCCCAUGGCUCAACCAUGGAAGUGCAACCAAAACUGGCAAGCUAGAGUUCUGAAGAGGAUGGCGGAAUUCCCAGUGUAGAGGUGAAAUUCGUAGAUAUUGGGAGGAACAUCGGUGGCGAAGGCGGCCAUCUGGGAAGCGACUGACGCUGAGACGCGAAAGCGUGGGUAGCAAACAGG